UGGGCCGGAGACUGGCGCCCGCCCCGAAGCGACUUUCGGUCCCCGACCAGCUCCGUCUGACCCCUAUGAUGAAGAGGGCGUCCACUGGAGUUCUUGCUGUCGACAUCUUUGACAAGUUCAACUUCACGGGAGCCAGAGUCCCAUGGUUCGACGCCAUUCAUGAAGAAUUCCCCAGGGAGCUGGAGUCCUCCAUCUCCUUCCCAGCCAACUUCUUCAAACCACCUGAAGAAAAAGGUAGAGGUUGAGCAUCCUGAUCCUGAAAUCUGAAAUGCUCCAGAAUCUGAACCUUCUUGAGCACCAACCUGACACUUAAAGGAAGUGCUCAUUGGAGGAUCUGUGACAAUUACUAAAAACUUCCCCAAAUAAAAAGGACAUGAAAAGAAUCUCACGCUAUCGCCCAGGCUGGAGUACAGUGGCGCGAUCUCCGCUCACUGCAAGCUCCGCCUCCCAGAAGGCCCCCUGGUAAGGCCAGCCAGCCGGAGGACCACCCCGCAGACCACACGCCCAGGGCCUGGCACCGAGGGGGAGGCCCCGA